rnacentral:rRNA from 1 species
CAGUAGCCGCGGGAAUACGGAGGGUGCAAGCGUUAAUCGGAAUUACUGGGCGUAAAGCGCACGCAGGCGGUCUGUCAAGUCAGAUGUGAAAUCCCCGGGCUUAACCUGGGAACUGCAUUUGAAACUGGCAGGCUAGAGUCUUGUAGAGGGGGGUAGAAUUCCAGGUGUAGCGGUGAAAUGCGUAGAGAUCUGGAGGAAUACCGGUGGCGAAGGCGGCCCCCUGGACGAAGACUGACGCUCAGGUGCGAAAGCGUGGGGAGCAAACAGGAUUAGAUACCCGUGUAGUCCCUGUCUCUUAUAC